GUCGGAGGGUAGGAGGAGGAGGGAGGCUGUGCCGGCCGGGCGUGAACCUCAAAUCCAAGGAGAGCACAAACUUCCCGGCCCGGGGGUACCAGGGGGAGCGCUGACAGGGGUCACACUGAGCGCCACGGUCCAUCCAUCACCCCCCUCUGCGUGAGGGGGGACCCCGGACACAGGAAGCCCCCAUAACCACCCCAGAGGGGGGUCAGAGCAAG